rnacentral:rRNA from 1 species
GUCUAUGGCCAUGCCACCCUGGAUAUGCCCGAUCUAGGAAGCUAACCAGGGUUGGGCCUGGUUAGUACUUGGAUGGGAGACCACCUAGGAAGACCAGGUGCUGUAGGCA